UACUUACUGAUUUCGGAUGUGAUUGUGGAAUGUGUUUUAGUUUCAAACAUUUGUUAUGAUUUAUGAAAAUUUGGGGUCGCAAAAACUGGUGAACAGUGCCAGAAGAAGAACCAAAAUUCCAAGGCUCGGUCUUCUUCAUAUGCGUUACAAAGCAGUGAGCGUGCCACAACAGCCAGCAGUGAAGAACAUAUGAGUGUACCAGUCAUGAAAGUAGAGGCAUUAAGUGUAAAGAAUCGCUCACAAAGAAGAACGACAAGAGAUCACAAGCCGAUACCUUAACAAAACUUACAGAGAAACCGAUGGGAAAUAACUAAGAAAAAUUAGAAUAAGAAAUAAAAAAGUUGACUGUAGAAAUUGAAAUAAUACAUUUGGAGAAAAAGAUGUGUUUAGUGUCAAUACGUGACCAAGUGCUAUAACUCUGACAUGUAAUAAACUAGUAGUAGAUUUAUUCCCCUUUUUGUAAUUAAAAGGAUCUUAUUAUUUUUUGUGCAACUACUUUAUAACUCUAUUAUUUCUAAAAUAGAUAGUCUAUAUUAGAAAUAAUAGUUAUGGGGCAGUUGCACACAAAAUAAUAAGAUUUUUUUUUAAUUCAAAAAGGGGCAUACUAUUAUUUCUAUGAUAAAAAUAUGAUUCUAUCCCUUUUUGUACUUAU